rfam:Triticum aestivum genome assembly, contig: Triticum_aestivum_CS42_TGACv1_scaffold_222528_3B
AUUCUACUCCCUCCGUUGCACAAUACAUGCCUUCUAUUUGUCAAUUUAAAUAUGUAUCUAGACAUGUUUUAGUAUAUAGGUACAUCCAUUUUUUGGACAAAUGGAAGUCAAGUAUUUUGGAACGGAGGGAGUACACA